rnacentral:rRNA from 1 species
UACGGAGGAUGCGAGCGUUAUCCGGAUUUAUUGGGUUUAAAGGGUGCGCAGGCGGGCUGUUAAGCCGGCGGUAAAAAUUCAGGGCUCAACCCUGUCGAGCCGUUGAAACUGGCAGACUUGAGUUGGCGAGAAGUACGCGGAAUGCGCGGUGUAGCGGUGAAAUGCAUAGAUAUCGCGCAGAACUCCGAUUGCGAAGGCAGCGUACCGGCGCCACACUGACGCUGAGGCACGAAAGCGUGGGGAUCGAACAGG